rnacentral:rRNA from 1 species
ACCACUUCGGUGGGGAUUAGUGGCGAACGGGUGAGUAACACGUGGGCAAUCUGCCCUUCACUCUGGGACAAGCCCUGGAAACGGGGUCUAAUACCGGAUACCACUCUCGCGGGCAUCUGCGAGGGUUGAAAGCUCCGGCGGUGAAGGAUGAGCCCGCGGCCUAUCAGCUUGUUGGUGAGGUAAUGGCUCACCAAGGCGACGACGGGUAGCCGGCCUGAGAGGGCGACCGGCCACACUGGGACUGAGACACGGCCCAGACUCCUACGGGAGGCAGCAGUGGGGAAUAUUGCACAAUGGGCGAAAGCCUGAUGCAGCGACGCCGCGUGAGGGAUGACGGCCUUCGGGUUGUAAACCUCUUUCAGCAGGGAAGAAGCGAAAGUGACGGUACCUGCAGAAGAAGCGCCGGCUAACUACGUGCCAGCAGCCGCGGUAAUACGUAGGGCGCAAGCGUUGUCCGGAAUUAUUGGGCGUAAAGAGCUCGUAGGCGGCUUGUCACGUCGGGUGUGAAAGCCC